rnacentral:rRNA from 1 species
UACGUAGGUGGCAAGCGUUAUCCGGAAUUAUUGGGCGUAAAGCGCGCGUAGGCGGUAGAAUAAGUCUGAUGUGAAAGCCCCUGGCUCAACCAGGGAGGGUCAUUGGAAACUGUUUUACUUGAGUACAGAAGAGGAGAGUGGAAUUCCAUGUGUAGCGGUGAAAUGCGCAGAGAUAUGGAGGAACACCAGUGGCGAAGGCGGCUCUCUGGUCUGUAACUGACGCUGAGGUGCGAAAGCGUGGGGAUCAAACAGGAUUAGA